ensembl:lncRNA
UUUCUCUAUAUACAGGUCAUUCACUAUGGGAGACAAUAUCGGGAACCAUCCCAGGGAGCAUGUUACCCUUUACUGGGGGGAAGGAUCUGCCUGCUGAGGGAAGGGGAAGGGGUGCUGACCCCCUCCUUGACCUGGUGGAUGGGGUGGGAGGGAGAUGAUAGCUACAGUUCUCAGUGCCCCUAUGCACAGGCAAAGGGGCAAAAGGGACUGGCAGGACAACCUUAUCACUGGAGGAAAAUUCAUCUAAUCAUAUCUCAAUCAGAAAUUGUAGUUUGUUGGUUGUUGUUGUUGUUGUUGUUUUUUUUGUUUGUUUGUUUGUUUGUUUUUGCUUUUUCCUCUCCAUUUAUUCUCCAAACAUCUUGUUUUCUGGACUACUGAGAAGAAAUGAAUGCAAAAAUGGAGAAAUCUUUACAAAGCCCUGUACUUUUUGUUAGACAAGGAGAAAUGUAGGUCUUCUGCUCAGAUAUGCGUUUAUAAGAGUAAACGAGAAGUAUUGUGAAGUAAAGCUGAAGGUUCUUUGAGACACAUUUCCUGUAAGUACAGAGAUGGUUUAAAGUUCCUAUAGAAAAGGCUGUUUUGUCACAAGAAGCACAUAGUUUUUUUUUUUUUGGGGUUGUUCUUUAAAUGAGCAGCUUUUCUGAAAAUGGGUAGCAUGUGUAUAUCAUUGUGGAAAAGCUGUAGUGAAAUGUGUUGACAGCUGUCGUUGAGCUUUGAUAAGGUUCUUUUUUUGGGUCUUGUAUUUACAGUACUCAUGUUUUCUUCUACUGGAGAUUUAUGGCAAUCAGCUGUAAUGUAGCAUGACGGGCUUUACACACACUGACUUUUAGGAAAAUGUGUAAAAUCUUGGCUGUGGCGUGAUGUCCGAGUGAAUCAUUGUUUGGUCUUGUGGCGUGAAUGUGACAUGGACAUUCAUCUGCAGGCAUAUCAAAGCUUUAGAUGCUUACUUUAUCCUUUUAUAUUGUCUGAGCCUCGGAAAGGACAAAUGAAGGAGAAGCAUGCAGGAUAACAAGAUCCUGUUUGUUGAUUAUUGUGUCAUUGUGUUUUGGACGUAAAUAUCACAAUGACACAAAUCCUGUGUCAGUGAUUUUUUUUUUUUUUUUUUUUUUUUUUUUUUUUUUUUGAUUUUUUGUGACUUUGGUCGUCAGAACCAUAUAAACCAUCAAAUCAAUGUUAACUAUGUUAAUUUCUCAAUGUACUGAUGUUUUUGUUAUUGGUUGUUGGAAUUUUUGUGCUAAAAGCAUGAUCUUGAGGAUGACUUUCUAAUGUUUUGGGUGGUUGUCACUGUGGGGUACUUUCAUCUUUUGCAUGUUGGUGGCCCCUUACACCCCAACUUAAAGCGGGAAGGUUGCAGGAGCUUCAAUCAAGUUUUUGCUUUAUUUAUUUUUUUUAUAGCAACCAUUUAUGUUCAGCGUCACUGUGACUUUUAAAGUCUUCACAGUAAUCUUGCUGGAGUGUUCUCUCCCUCACGUUUCACCUGUGUGUAGAUGUGUAGAUUUUAAAUACUGUGAAAUUACAUGUUGUUGUCUUCUUGUGUUGCAGUGUUAUGUUUUUCUUUUUUUUUUAAUCUAUAUGUUUAAGUUGCAGAUGGCCUGAAUGUAUUCCAUGAUGGAUUUUUAUUUUUUUUAUUUUUAUAUUAUUGUUUUGUUUAAUUUUAAUUUUUUUAUUUUUUAUGCCCAUCCAUUCUUCCUCUGCUGGCCAGAGUAAUAACUGCAGUAUUUAAAUCCUUUGUGAUGCACCUACAAUUUACUUACUUGCUUACCGACUUACUUACUUGGCAAGUGCUUAAAAUGAAUGAUGUAGCCAAACACUUUAGAAUAUGACCCGACAGAUCGUUGAGCAUUGCUGCUAAAAUGUGUGGACCUUAAUGCAUUAAGCAUCUUGAUCCAAUUGGGAUAUUGGAGUGUAGAAGUAGUUUAAUGUGUUAGCUCAACUGCCACAUUAUGAAGUGUAUUACUAAUGUUAGAUGAAACAUUUUUUGAGGACGUACACGAUGAAUGCAGGUUAUAAUGCAUCAUGGAAUACAGAGGCAAAUACUCGUAUGUGUCACAUCUUUAUGUGUUUAGAAGUGAUUUUUGUCUUGUCACAUUCCAGCUGUUUGGCUUGCAAAAAUAUGAAGUAAUCGCAGCUUGACGGGGUGGAUGUGCACACACUUCUGUUCUUUCUUCAAAAGAUAGUAGUACUACAAAACACAACAAUCCCAAUUUCUACUGUGCUAUAAUUUUGACGUAACUGCUGCUAUACAUUGUACUUGUGUUUCACUAUAUGAAUAUGUUUUUGUGUUAACCUCAGGUUGUGUUUAUGUCUAGUGUGUAUGUGUGUGUGUGUGUGUGUGUUUGUUUGUUUGUUUGUUUGUUUGUUGGUUGGUUUUUAAUUGGUUUCCUCAUGUCUCCACCUUUCCACAUCUUUUCAAACAAGGAAAGAUUGGUUUAAAAACCCACCCCAUCAUCUUCAAAAUGGGUGUUAAUUCACAUUAACGUUAAUACAUGCAACACUGCUAGCUGAACAGUGGGAUUACAGUUGGAAACCAGGAAGUAGGAAUGAUUCCUACUUUUACAUCCUUAUUGUCAAACGUGAUUGUUAUCAGGCUUAGGUAAAUGGUGUAAUCUCUGCACAAUGCCUUGAAUGCAAAUACUUUGAGGAUUUUUGCUGGGGUUUUGCAAUAGAAAUACAGUACACUGUAUGUAGAGAUGCAGGUGAAAGCUGAUUUAAAAGUAAUUGCAUAUGUUGACAACUUAAACUCUCUGCAAAUAUAGGUUUGACUUUCUAUGAAGCUUUAUUGAAAAAUUUGUAUUUUAUAAAGCACCCAUUAAUAUUAAGGAAUGUCUAGUCAAGGAGCUCUAGUAGUCUACAGUUUAAUUAGCCUUUAAACUUGAUUAGAUUAUCUGCCUUCAUCCUUUUGCUAAUGAAAGUGAAAACAUCAUUCUCAUCGACAUGUUUUGAUUUUUCUUCUUUUUUUUAUAAGCUGCUGAAUUUUAAAAAUAAGUAAUACUUUUGGGGCCACCAAAUUUUUUGGAUCAUGCAAAGACUCUAUAUUGUACUGUAGUAAUUUUGUAAUAUUUGUAAGAUGAUAUAGUGGGUGUGACUGGUUACCAUUGCUUGAAUCUGUACAUUGUUCCAAUAAAUUGUUUACAUUAUUG